rnacentral:lncRNA from 1 species
AAUAUAUAUAUCUCUAAAAUAAAAUAAAAAUAUUUUCUAUUUUUGUUACUUUAAUUACCCCCUUUCUUCUCUCUUACUAAUUUUUGGUUUUUCUUUUGGGUAUUAUUUGAUCAGGAAUCGAAGAGGAAGACAGGGACAAUCAAAAAGGGAACUGCUGGAGAAGGAAUGCUAUAGAGGUUUGCCUAAAAAUAAAAAAAAAUUGCUGGGGAAAUUCUUUUUGGUAACAUCUAAACCUUUCUUAUUUAAAUUGAUUCCCAGUUUGCUUGAAAUAUUGUGGUGAUUGUUUGAUUUUAAUUUCAGUAAAAGUGUGAAUGUAUGCCUGAUACACAUACACCAAUUAAUCCGCACAUAGUAA